rnacentral:misc_RNA from 1 species
GAUGAAGAACGCAGUGAAAUGCGAUAAGUAGUGUGAAUUGCAGAAUUCAGUGAAUCAUCGAAUCUUUGAACGCGCAUUGCGCCCCUUGGUAUCCCGAGGGGCAUGCCUGUUCGAGCGUCAUUUCACCACUCAAGCCUGGCUUGGUGUUGGGCGACGUCCUCUUUGGGGACGCGCCUCGAAACGCUCGGCGGCGUGGCACCGGCUUUAAGCGUAGCAGAAUCUUUCGCUUUGGAAGUCGGGGCCCCGUCUGCCGGAAGACCUGCUCGCAAGGUUGACCUCGGAUCAGGCAGGGAUACCCGCUGAACUUAAGCAUAUCAAUAAGCGGAGGA